UACGGGGGGGGCAAGCGUUGUUCGGAAUUACUGGGCGUAAAGGGCUCGUAGGCGGCCAACUAGUCGGAUGUGAAAUCCCCAGGCUCAACCUGGGAACUGCAUCCGAUACUGGAUGGCUUGAAUCCGGGAGAGGGAUGCAGAAUUCCAGGUGUAGCGGUGAAAUGCGUAGAUAUCUGGAGGAAUACCGGUGGCGAAGGCGGCAUCCUGGACCGGCAUUGACGCUGAGGAGCGAAAGCUAGGGGAGCAAACAGG
rnacentral:rRNA from 1 species